GCGGCGUUAGCUCAGCUGGAUAGAGCGUCUGGCUUCGGACCAGAAGGCCGGGGGUUCGAAUCCCUCACGCCGCACCA
rnacentral:tRNA from 5 species